GACGAACGCUGGCGGCGUGCUUAACACAUGCAAGUCGAACGGAAAGGCCCUGCUUUUGUGGGGUGCUCGAGUGGCGAACGGGUGAGUAACACGUGAGUAACCUGCCCUUGACUUUGGGAUAACUUCAGGAAACUGGGGCUAAUACCGGAUAGGAGCUCCUGCUGCAUGGUGGGGGUUGGAAAGUUUCGGCGGUUGGGGAUGGACUCACGGCUUAUCAGCUUGUUGGUGGGGUAGUGGCUUACCAAGGCUUUGACGGGUAGCCGGCCUGAGAGGGUGACCGGCCACAUUGGGACAGAGAUACGGGCCAGACUCCUACGAGAGGCAGCAGUGGGGAAGAUAACACAAUGGGUGGAAGCAUGCUGCAGCAACGCAGCGUGCGGGAUGACGGCCUUCGGGUUGGAAACCGCUUUCGCCUGUGACGAAGCGUGAGUGACGGGAAUGGGUAAAGGAGCACCGGCUAACUACGU
rnacentral:rRNA from 1 species